CACUAAAUCUUUAUUGAAUUUUUAUUGUAACAGCAAUGCAAUAUUAGCAAAUAGAGAGCAAUAUAGAGUGAAGAGAAUACAGCAAUAAAGUUAGAAGGAGGGGGUAGGGGUAAUGGGGUUCAGUGGUAGGAGGAGGGCUACUGACAGGGGUAAAAGCAAGGGUUUUUAUUUAUCACUUUUAUAACUUCCAUGAAAAUUUACCAUCCAUCAUUGAUAAUUUCAUUCUAGCAGUAAUUUAUCAAAGGGCACUCAUCCUCUAUUAAACUAUUAAUCUAAUCACCUUUGAACUUUCUCCCACUAGGGUUUUUAUCCAUGUCCAAUUCACUCUAAAUAAGUUGGUCUCCCUGCAGUUCCCUCUGAGUUAUUUGAAAUCUUUAAGGAUAGCAAUUACAGGGUAAAGGGUCACAAGUAAGUACACAUGCCCACUUAUAGCGAUAUCUAAUACACAAUAUUAUUCUAACAUUCUAAAUAACCCCACCCACUUAAAAUUACUUAAUAGUCCCUCCCACCCUAAAAUGCUUAUGAUUAUAUAUCCCCUAUUACUUAAACUUGAUUACACAAAGAAAUAAAAGCAAUGCAAUUUCCACAGACCAAUUCAAUACCAUUCUACAAUCUAAAACAACAAAGAACUUUCAGUCUCAUCAGAUGUGUCUUCUCUCUUUAGAUGAAAAUGUAACAUGGCUCCCGCAGGGCUCUCCAUUUCUGCCCAGGUCUUUCCAGCAGGGUGUUCUCUGUUGUCAAUCUUGGAACUGUCUGUAUCUGAUGUGAGAUGUCUGUGGUGGAUGACAACUGGAUCAAUUCAGAUGUCCAAGAGGUACCUGCAAACUUAAACAGAAUUCCAGACUGCACCAUAUAGAUGUGGCCCUCUUAUUUUGUGCACCUGCAAGUUCACUGUAUUACUUCAUGAUUCCAUCAGACUAAUUCUCCUUUUUUCCACUAUCUAGGACAAAUACCUCACUGUCCAAACUAAAUUGACCCUUCAUAAAUGUAUGUAAACCUUCUCUGUUUCAAUAUCCUAGCAUGACAAAUUUAGCUAGUUCUCUCUAGGCUUGCCUAUCAAUGGGAGCUCUUAGAUCUUCUUCCUUCUUGAUUUAAUUAACAAUGUAAAUUUGGGCCAAAAGUCAAUUAAUUAAUUUUGCCAGUUUGUUUCAAAAACUCAGCUAUUGAUUUUGCUUAAUAAUCUAUCUCCUUUAUGUUUUUUAUUUUGCUCCCUUUCUAACUUCUUUAGAUAUCAAAUUCCAUUGAUUUUUUUCCUUUCUUAUGAAUAAAUCCAUUUUUGUUGGAAAAUGCCAAAAAAAUUAAAGGAUCCAAUUAACAUAAACUUGAUUAACAACAAAAGAAAUCAAUUGAGUGAAAGGAAACUUAACCAAACUUCAAUACUAUAGAAUAAUAAAUUUAGAAUUACUUAUCCUUAACAUCUACAUUUAUAGAUAGCAUAUAUAGCAAUAGAGCAUAGUACACACUGCCAAAAAGUUAAUCACAAGCUUUAGUAAGCAGCCAAAUGUGGAUCAGGGACUUUCUGAGUUGUUAACCCACAGCAGCAUAUUCUCCCUGAUCAUUCUUGUCGUUGGGGAACUUUUCCAGACUUUUGCUUGCAGUGGUGGCAAAUGUCCGUGUGCACAUGCCAGGGCUACAGACAACGGCCCAUUUCUAGGCACCCUGCAGCUUGAAGAUCAAUUGACAACUGUAAAUUUGACACAAAACAACUUGAAUUCAAAGGUAUGGAGGAUGAAUUGAUACUUGAGGUAAACAGAAGUGACGCUUCAAAAUAGUUCAGAAGCACAAAUGCACCAUUUUAAAAGUAAUUACUCUAAAACACAUGAGUGAUUGACAAGCUUUCUGAUUCCAUUGAACAAAAAAAAGUUGUUUUGGAUUAAAUAGUCAAUUAGGUUUCUCUUUUGAAAUUUUAUAUCCUUUUAUAUGAUUUUUAAAGGCCCAAUUAAUAGAAUUGAAAUUAUAUAUGAUGUUAAAAUUGAAGAUGAACAGGAUGAACCGUUAUACAAAUACUCCAGUUCUGAGGAGCCUCUCAUUCACAGCAUUGUAAGAACUUCACAGUAAAGAAAUAUUUUACACUAUGUUACUUAUCAUUUUUACUUAGUUUAACUC
ensembl:lncRNA